rnacentral:rRNA from 1 species
UGGGGAAUUUUACACAAUGGGCGAAAGCCUGAUGUAGCGACACCGCGUGAGCGAAGAAGCCUUUUGGGGUGUAAAGCUCUGUCAGCAGGGACGAAACAAAUGACGGUACCUGCAGAGGAAGCAUCGGCUAACUACGUGCCAGCAGCCGCGGUAAGACGUAGGAUGCAAGCGUUGUCCGGAUUUAUUGGGCGUAAAGAGUUCGUAGGUGGUUCGUUAAGUCUGAUGUUAAAGAUCGGGGCUCAACCUCGGGAGUGCAUUGGAUACUGGCGGACUUGAGUGUGGUAGAGGCAAUCGGAAUUCCAGGUGUAGCGGUGAAAUGCGUAGAUAUCUGGAAGAACACCGGUGGCGCAAGCGGAUUGCUGGGCCAUAACUGACACUGAGGAACGAAAGCUAGGGGAGCAAAUGGGAUUAGAUACCCCAGUAGUCCUAGCUGUAAACGAUGGAUACUAGGCGUAUCGGGUAUCGACCCCUGAUGUGCCGCAGCUAACGCGGUAAGUAUCCC